UCCAACUGGCUACAGACUCCAUCAAAGCCUAGAAAUCGUUUUGCUUUUUUGGGCAUCCUCCUUUUUCUCCCUGCUCCUUGCUUUCCCCAACCUAGAAUCCUCAUCCUUUCCCCGAAUGAGAAAUUUGAAAUCCACAACCCAAAACUCACUCAUAGUGGCCCCUGCCUUGCCUCAUUCCUCAUAUCCUGAUGGUUCAUUCUCUCCAUUUGAUUCGAUUUUGGGCAUAAUAGUGGGAGUUGAGUAAUGGAGUUGCUGCCAUGCAAUGGAGUAUAGCAGGAGGCAGAGGACCUUUCACUCAAUCUAAUGGAUGGAGCUAGAACACCAGGUCUUGAUCUACAAAUACAUCCCAAUGUGCCCAUUUCGCCCACUCCGCUCAUCCCAAUCAAGAAGGCCCUUAAUUCUGCAUGAUUUUUGACAUUUUCGAACAAAAUUCCCAGGCCCAAUUCAUUGGGAUGAUUCUCCAACACCACUGAUCCUGAGCAGAACAUGUUCAUUGUGAAUUACAAGGAUUUCAUAGGUAAUGUAUAGAUUAGGGAUACACUUGAACCUAGAUAAGCAUGAAAAGCAUACGGUUUUGCUUGACCCAUCUAAUCACAGAAUUGUGUACCAUCAAUUCAAACGUUGUAGAACCAGUUUAAUGAAGUUGUAGUUGGUUGUGUG